rnacentral:rRNA from 1 species
AGUGCCCUAGAGGUAUCCCAAGUAAUGCGGUGCACGUGAAACUCUGCAUGAAUCUGUCCAGACCACUGGAUAAGCCUAAAUACUCCUUGGCAACCGAUAGUGAACUAGUACCGUGAGGGAAAGGUGAAAAGAACCCCUGCUAGGGGAGUGAAAUAGUACCUGAAACCCGUUGCAUACAAAGUUUCGAAGCCCCCUUGUGGGGUGACGGAGUGCCUUUUGCAUAAUGAGUCUGCGAGUUGUUGUCUGUGGCAAGCCUAAGUCCUUAUGGGAUGGAGGCGAAGGGAAACCGAGUGUGAAAUGCGCGAUUUAGUCGCAGGCAAUAGACCCGAAGCGGAGGUGAUCUAUUCAUGAGCAGGUUGAAGCAGCGGUAAUACGCUGUGAAGGACCGAACCGGUGUACGUUGAAAAGUGCUCGGAUGACUUGUGAAUAGGAGCGAAAGACUAAUCAAACCCCGUGAUAGCUGGUUCUCUCCGAAAUAGAUUGAGGUCUAGCGUCAGAUGCUGACUUACGGAGGUAGAGCACUGGAUGGCUUAGGGCCCAUACCAGGGUACCAAAACCAAUCAAACUCCGAAUGCCGUAAGGUGUAAUCUGGCAGUGAGUCUGUGGGGGAUAAGCUUCACAGGCGAGAGGGAAACAUCCCAGACCGUCGGCUAAGGUGCCGAAAUAUGAUUAAGUGGAAAGGAUGUGAUGUUACUUAGACAGUGAGGAUGUUGGCUUAGAGGCAGCCACCAUUUAAACAGUGCGUAAUAGCUGACUCAUCGAGUGACAUCGCGCCGAAAAUGAUUGGCGAUUAAAUCAUAUACCGAAGCCACGGACCCCGUUAUGCGGGGUGGUAGGAGAGCAUAAUCAGUGCUGCGAAGCUGGACUGUAAAGGAAAGUGGAGCGCUGAUUAGUGAGAAUGCAGACAUGAGUAGCGAUAAGCCAGAUGAGAAUUCUGGCCGCCGUAAACCCAAGGUUUCCUGGGGCAGGUUCGUCCGCCCAGGGUUAGUCGGGAGCUAAGACGAGGCCGUAGGGCGUAGUCGAUGCACAGCAGUUUAAUAUUCCUGCACCGGCAAGGGUUAAGGUAACAAGGGACGUGAAUAAGAAAGUGACUAAGUCAUCGAAAGACAGAGCCUAGCCUUCGGGCGAAGCGCAUCACCGGACUAUUGACCGAGAAAAGCUUGUUAUUGUUCCCCUGGCCGCCCGUACCGUAAACCGACACAGGUGGGUGAGUGUAAAUGCACUAAGGCGCGCGAGAUAAACCUCUCUAAGGAACUCGGCAAAAUAGCCCCGUAACUUCGGGAGAAGGGGUACCCCACGCAAGUGGGGUCACAGUAAAUUGGGUUUGGCGACUGUUUACCAAAAACACAGCACUCUGCUAAGUCGUGAAGACGACGUAUAGGGUGUGACACGUGACCAAUGCGACAAGAUUAAGGUGACUUGUUAGCCCUUGAGGCGAAGCUCGGAGCCGAAGUCCUCGUGAAUGUCGGCCGUAACUAUAACGGUCCUAAGGUAGCGAAAUUCCUUGUCGGGUAAGUUCCGACCUGCACGAAUCGUGUAACGACCGAACCGCUGUCUCGGAGAGGUUCUCGGCGAAAUUGUAGUGGCGGUGAAGAUGCCGCCUACCCGCGGUAGGACGGAAAGACCCUAUGCACCUUUACUAUAAGCUGGUAUUGGGUUCUGAUUCUUAAUGCGUAGCAUAGGUGGGAGACUUUGAAACGAUGGCUUCGGUUGUCGUGGAGUCGCCAGUGAAAUACCACUCUUUAUUAAUUAGGAUUCUAACCCCGAUCCUGUGAAGCCAGGCGGGGAACAGUGCCUGCGGGUUAGUUUGACUGGGGCGGUUUCCUCCCAAAGAGUAACGGAGGAGCGCGAAGGUACUCUCAGCACGGUUGGCAAUCGUGCGUCGAGCGCAUGGGUAGAAGAGUGCUUAACUGUGAGACACACACGUCGAGCAGAUGCGAAAGCAGGCCCAAGUGAUCCGAUAGUAGAAUGUGGAAUUGCUAUCGCUCAACGGACAAAAGGUACGCUAG